UAACACAUGCAAGUCGAGGGGCAGCGCGGGGCGGCAACGUCCUGGCGGCGACCGGCGGAAGGGUGCGUAACGCGUGAGCGACAUGCCCGUUGCCCGGGGACAACCGGUGGAAACGCCGACUAAUCCCCGAUGGGACGGAGGCCCUCAUGGGUCUCUGUUGAAAGUUACGGCGGCGACGGAUUGGCUCGCGUCCGAUUAGCUAGUUGGCGGGGUAACGGCCCACCAAGGCUACGAUCGGUAGGGGUUCUGAGAGGAAGAUCCCCCACAAUGGAACUGAGACACGGUCCAUACUCC
rnacentral:rRNA from 1 species